rnacentral:rRNA from 1 species
AUUGAACGCUGGCGGCAUGCCUUACACAUGCAAGUCGAACGGCAGCACGGGAGCAAUCCUGGUGGCGAGUGGCGAACGGGUGAGUAAUGUAUCGGAACGUGCCCAGUCGUGGGGGAUAACGCAGCGAAAGCUGUGCUAAUACCGCAUACGAUCUAUGGAUGAAAGCGGGGGAUCGCAAGACCUCGCGCGAUUGGAGCGGCCGAUAUCAGAUUAGGUAGUUGGUGGGGUAAAGGCCUACCAAGCCUGCGAUCUGUAGCUGGUCUGAGAGGACGACCAGUCACACUGGAACUGAGACACGGUCCAGACUCCUACGGGAGGCAGCAGUGGGGAAUUUUGGACAAUGGGCGCAAGCCUGAUCCGGCAAUGCCGCGUGCAGGAUGAAGGCCUUCGGGUUGUAAACUGCUUUUGUACGGAGCGAAACGGCUCUCACUAAUACUGGGGGCUAAUGACGGUACCGUAAGAAUAAGCACCGGCUAACUACGUGCCAGCCGCCGCGGUAA